rnacentral:rRNA from 1 species
ACGGAGGGGGCAAGCGUUGUUCGGAAUUAUUGGGCGUAAAGGGCGCGUAGGCGGAUUGGCAAGUCUGACGUGAAAUCUCCACCACUCAACGGGGAGAGGUCGUUGGAUACUACCGAUCUGGAGUUUGGUAGAGGGUCGUGGAAUUCCAGGUGUAGCGGUGGAAUGCGUAGAUAUCUGGAAGAACACCGGUGGCGAAGGCGGCGACCUGGGCCAAAACUGACGCUGAUGCGCGAAAGCUAGGGGAGCAAACGG